GCCCUCUUAGUGCAGUAGGCAGCACAUUAGUCUUUUAAUCUGAAGGUCCUGAGUUCGAGCCUCGGAGAAAGCA